CCUUUACUAUAGCUUCGCCUUGGCGUUAGCGACGUAUGUGUAGGAUAGGUGGGAGGCUAUGAAACCGGGGCGCCAGCUCUGGUGGAGCCAUCCUUGAAAUACCACCCUUACUGUCGUUGACGUCUAACCGAGGGCCGUUAUCCGGUCCCGGGACAUGGCGUGGUGGGUAGUUUGACUGGGCGGUCGCCUCCUAAAGUGUAACGGAGGCGCGCGAUGGUGGCUCAGACCGGUCGGAAAUCGGUCGUCGAGUGCAAUGGCAUAAGCCCGCCUGACUGCGAGACUGACAAGUCGAGCAGAGACGAAAGUCGGCCAUAGUGAUCCGGUGGUCCCGCGUGGAAGGGCCAUCGCUCAACGGAUAAAAGGUA
rnacentral:rRNA from 1 species